rnacentral:rRNA from 1 species
CAGUCGCCGCGGGAAUACGAAGGGGGCUAGCGUUGUUCGGAUUUACUGGGCGUAAAGCGCACGUAGGCGGACUUUUAAGUCAGGGGUGAAAUCCCGGGGCUCAACCCCGGAACUGCCUUUGAUACUGGAAGUCUUGAGUAUGGUAGAGGUGAGUGGAAUUCCGAGUGUAGAGGUGAAAUUCGUAGAUAUUCGGAGGAACACCAGUGGCGAAGGUGGCUCACUGGAUCAUUACUGACGCUGAGGUGCGAAAGCGUGGGGAGCAAACAGGAUUAGAGACCCCGGUAGUCCCUGUCUCUUAUAC